GUCCGAUUAGGUAGUUGGUGAGGUAACGGCUCACCAAGCCUGUGAUCGGUAGCUGGUCUGAGAGGAUGAUCAGCCACACUGGGACUGAGACACGGCCCAGACUCCUACGGGAGGCAGCAGUGGGGAAUAUUGGACAAUGGGGGCAACCCUGAUCCAGCAAUGCCGCGUGAGUGAUGAAGGCCUUCGGGUUGUAAAGCUCUUUCGCCCACGACGAUGGUGACGGUAGUGGGAGAAGAAGCCCCGGCUAACUUCGUGCCAGCAGCCGCGGUAAUACGAAGGGGGCUAGCGUUGUUCGGAGUUACUGGGCGUAAAGGGCGCGUAGGCGGCCGACCAAGUCGGGUGUGAAAGCCCGGGGCUCAACCCCGGAAUAGCACUCGAGACUGGUUGGCUCGAGGACGGGAGAGGAUGGUGGAAUUCCCAGUGUAGAGGUGAAAUUCGUAGAUAUUGGGAAGAACACCGGUGGCGAAGGCGGCCAUCUGGACCGUUUCUGACGCUGAGGCGCGAAAGCGUGGGGAGCA
rnacentral:rRNA from 1 species